rnacentral:misc_RNA from 1 species
GAUGAAGGACGUAGCGAAAUGCGAUACGUAAUGUGAAUUGCAGAAUUCAGUGAAUCAUCGAGUCUUUGAACGCACAUUGCGCCCCCUGGUAUUCCGGGGGGCAUGCCUGUCCGAGCGUCAUUGCUGCCCUCAAGCACGGCUUGUGUGUUGGGCCUCCGUCCUCCUCCCGGGGGACGGGCCCGAAAGGCAGCGGCGGCACCGCGUCCGGUCCUCGAGCGUAUGGGGCUUCGUCACCCGCUCUUGUAGGCCCGGUCGGCGCUUGCCGACACAUCAAUCUUUUUUCCAGGUUGACCUCGGAUCAGGUAGGGAUACCCGCUGAACUUAAGCAUAUCAAUAAGCGGAGGA